AUUGAACGCUGGCGGCAGGCCUAACACAUGCAAGUCGAGCGAGCGGCGGACGGGUGAGUAAUGUCUGGGAAACUGCCCGAUGGAGGGGGAUAACAACUGGAAACGGUAGCUAAUACCCCAUAUCAUCAGAUGUGCCCAGAUGGGAUUAGCUGGUAGGUGGGGUAACGGCUCACCGAGGCGACGAUCCCUAGCUGGUCUGAGAGGCUGACCAGCCACACGGGAACGGAGACACGGUCCAGACUCCUACGGGAGGCAGCAGUGGGGAAUAUUGCACAAUGGGCGCAAGCCUGAUGCAGCCAUGCCGCGUGUGUGAAGAAGGCCGUCGGGUUGUAAAGCACUUUCAGCGGGGAGGCGUUACCCGCAGAAGAAGCACCGGCUAACUACGUGCCAGCAGCCGCGGUAAUAC
rnacentral:rRNA from 1 species